ensembl:lncRNA
AGCAAACAGCAUGUUCACUAUGGUGUUAAAAACAAGUUCAAAUGAGAAAAAUGCAUUGAUUGGAGGGUCCAGGCAAAGUAACCCAUUCCCGAAAGAUUUUGGUCUGAACCAAGUAAUCAACUCAACCUAUGUCAUGGAAUUUGAGGAUGGUUCAGCUGUUAUGGAAGCCCUGGCUGCAAGCACAGAAAAAGCAUCCAAAUAGACAAUUGCUUUCAGAGAUUUUACAUCUUUAAUCACAAGGGGAGCUUCCUUGGGUGCAGAGGACAUAAACUAAUUAUCAAGGCCUCUACAGAAAAGUUUAUUCUGGGAACCUCUGAGUGGCCUUU